CCAUCUUUGUGAUCAUGGAUCAUGGUAUCUCCCCUCCCAGGAAAAUACAUCAUAUCUUGCACUUGGGUGGAAAAGAGCAGAAAUCCUUGGUUAACAGGAUUAUACGCAAUGGUGCAGAAAGCAUUCUCUAAAGAAAAAUCAGAGAGGAAGAAACACUGCAUGGAGAAUCCAAGAAACACUCUAAGAAUUGAAGUUAAAAUGUCGGAG
rnacentral:lncRNA from 1 species